rnacentral:rRNA from 1 species
ACGUACACUCCUGCGGGAGGCAGCAGUGGGGAAUAUUGGACAAUGGGCGCAAGCCUGAUCCAGCCAUGCCGCGUGAGUGAUGAAGGCCCUAGGGUUGUAAAGCUCUUUCACCGGUGAAGAUAAUGACGGUAACCGGAGAAGAAGCCCCGGCUAACUUCGUGCCAGCAGCCGCGGUAAUACGAAGGGGGCUAGCGUUGUUCGGAUUUACUGGGCGUAAAGCGCACGUAGGCGGACUAUUAAGUCAGGGGUGAAAUCCCGGGGCUCAACCCCGGAACUGCCUUUGAUACUGGUAGUCUUGAGUUCGAGAGAGGUGAGUGGAAUUCCGGGUGUAGAGGUGAAAUUCGUAGAUAUUCGGAGGAACACCAGUGGCGAAGGCGGCUCACUGGCUCGAUACUGACGCUGAGGUGCGAAAGCGUGGGGAGCAAACAGGAUUAGAUACCCCUGUAGUCCCA